UGAACGCUAGCUACAGGCUUAACACAUGCAAGUCGAGGGGCAGCGCAGUGUAGCAAUACAUGGGCGGCGACCGGCGCACGGGUGCGUAACGCGUAUCCAAUCUUCCCGUUACUCAGGGAUAGCCUUUCCGAAAAGGGGAGAUUAAUACCUGAUGGUGUUCAAAUUCCGCAUGUUAUUUGAACUAAAGAUUUAUCGGUAACGGAUGGGGAUGCGUGACAUUAGGUAGAUGGCGGGGUAACGGCCCACCAUGCCCACGAUGUCUAGGGGUUCUGAGAGGAAGGUCCCCCACACUGGAACUGAGACACGGUCCAGACUCCUACGGGAGGCAGCAGUGAGGAAUAUUGGUCAAUGGUCGAGAGACUGAACCAGCCAUGCCGCGUGAAGGUCACGGCCCUAUGGGUCUUAAACUUCUUUUGCAAGGGAGCAAUAAGUCCCACGUGUGGGAUGAUGAGAGUACCUUGCGAAUAAGCAUCGGCUAACUCCGUG
rnacentral:rRNA from 1 species